rnacentral:rRNA from 1 species
GGGUUGUGAGGUUAAGCGACUAAGCGUACACGGUGGAUGCCCUGGCAGUCAGAGGCGAUGAAGGGCGUGCUAAUCUGCGAUAAGCGCCGGUAAGGUGAUAUGAACCGUUAUAACCGGCGAUACCCGAAUGGGGAAACCCAGUGUGAUUCGUCACACUAUCAUUAACUGAAUCCAUAGGUUAAUGAGGCGAACCGGGGGAACUGAAACAUCUAAGUACCCCGAGGAAAAGAAAUCAACCGAGAUUCCCCCAGUAGCGGCGAGCGAACGGGGAGGAGCCCAGAGCCUGAAUCAGCAUGUGUGUUAGUGGAAGCGUCUGGAAAGGUGCGCGAUACAGGGUGACAGCCCCGUACACAAAAGCGCAUGUGCUGUGAGCUCGAUGAGUAGGGCGGGACACGUGGUAUCCUGUCUGAAUAUGGGGACCAUCCUCCAAGGCUAAAUACUCCUGACUGACCGAUAGUGAACCAGUACCGUGAGGGAAAGGCGAAAAGAACCCCGGCGAGGGGAGUGAAAAAGAACCUGAAACCGUGUACGUACAAGCAGUGGGAGCACAGGUUUACCUGUGUGACUGCGUACCUUUGUAUAAUGGGUCAGCGACUUAUAUUCUGUAGCAAGGUUAACCGUAUAGGGAGCCGUAGGGAAACCGAGUCUUAACCGGGCGUUAAGUUGCAGGGUAUAGACCCGAAACCCGGUGAUCUAGCCAUGGGCAGGUUGAAGGUUGGGUAACACUAACUGGAGGACCGAACCGACUAAUGUUGAAAAAUUAGCGGAUGACCUGUGGCUGGGGGUGAAAGGCCAAUCAAACCGGGAGAUAGCUGGUUCUCCCCGAAAGCUAUUUAGGUAGCGCCUCGUGAAUUCAUCUCCGGGGGUAGAGCACUGUUUCGGCUAGGGGGCCAUCCCGGCUUACCAACCCGAUGCAAACUGCGAAUACCGGAGAAUGUUAUCACGGGAGACACACGGCGGGUGCUAACGUCCGUCGUGAAGAGGGAAACAACCCAGACCGCCAGCUAAGGUCCCAAAGUCAUGGUUAAGUGGGAAACGAUGUGGGAAGGCCCAGACAGCCAGGAUGUUGGCUUAGAAGCAGCCAUCAUUUAAAGAAAGCGUAAUAGCUCACUGGUCGAGUCGGCCUGCGCGGAAGAUGUAACGGGGCUAAACCAUGCACCGAAGCUGCGGCAGCGAACGUAUCACCCAAGACAACUUUACGGAGUUGACGAUUGACGGAGCGAAGCGACGUCAAAGCGUUCAUUAAAGUCGAGUUGGCUUAGGGAUACGUUCGUUGGGUAGGGGAGCGUUCUGUAAGCCUGUGAAGGUGUGUCGUGAGGCAUGCUGGAGGUAUCAGAAGUGCGAAUGCUGACAUAAGUAACGAUAAAGCGGGUGAAAAGCCCGCUCGCCGGAAGACCAAGGGUUCCUGUCCAACGUUAAUCGGGGCAGGGUGAGUCGACCCCUAAGGCGAGGCCGAAAGGCGUAGUCGAUGGGAAACGGGUUAAUAUUCCCGUACUUGGUGUUACUGCGAAGGGGGGACGGAGAAGGCUAUGUUGGCCGGGCGACGGUUGUCCCGGUUUAAGCGUGUAGGUGUGUGUUCCAGGUAAAUCCGGUUCACUUUAACACUGAGGCGUGACGACGAGGCACUACGGUGCUGAAGCAACAAAUGCCCUGCUUCCAGGAAAAGCCUCUAAGCAUCAGGUAACACGAAAUCGUACCCCAAACCGACACAGGUGGUCAGGUAGAGAAUACCAAGGCGCUUGAGAGAACUCGGGUGAAGGAACUAGGCAAAAUGGUGCCGUAACUUCGGGAGAAGGCACGCUGACACGUAGGUGAAGUGAUUUACUCAUGGAGCUGAAGUCAGUCGAAGAUACCAGCUGGCUGCAACUGUUUAUUAAAAACACAGCACUGUGCAAACACGAAAGUGGACGUAUACGGUGUGACGCCUGCCCGGUGCCGGAAGGUUAAUUGAUGGGGUCAGCGUAAGCGAAGCUCCUGAUCGAAGCCCCGGUAAACGGCGGCCGUAACUAUAACGGUCCUAAGGUAGCGAAAUUCCUUGUCGGGUAAGUUCCGACCUGCACGAAUGGCGUAAUGAUGGCGAGGCUGUCUCCACCCGAGACUCAGUGAAAUUGAACUCGCUGUGAAGAUGCAGUGUACCCGCGGCAAGACGGAAAGACCCCGUGAACCUUUACUAUAGCUUGACACUGAACAUUGAGCCUUGAUGUGUAGGAUAGGUGGGAGGCUUUGAAGUGUGGACGCCAGUCUGCAUGGAGCCGACCUUGAAAUACCACCCUUUAAUGUUUGAUGUUCUAACGUGGACCCGUAAUCCGGGUUGCGGACAGUGUCUGGUGGGUAGUUUGACUGGGGCGGUCUCCUCCUAAAGAGUAACGGAGGAGCACGAAGGUUGGCUAAUCUGGUCGGACAUCAGGAGGUUAGUGCAAUGGCAUAAGCCAGCUUGACUGCGAGCGUGACGGCGCGAGCAGGUGCGAAAGCAGGUCAUAGUGAUCCGGUGGUUCUGAAUGGAAGGGCCAUCGCUCAACGGAUAAAAGGUACUCCGGGGAUAACAGGCUGAUACCGCCCAAGAGUUCAUAUCGACGGCGGUGUUUGGCACCUCGAUGUCGGCUCAUCACAUCCUGGGGCUGAAGUAGGUCCCAAGGGUAUGGCUGUUCGCCAUUUAAAGUGGUACGCGAGCUGGGUUUAGAACGUCGUGAGACAGUUCGGUCCCUAUCUGCCGUGGGCGCUGGAGAACUGAGGGGGGCUGCUCCUAGUACGAGAGGACCGGAGUGGACGCAUCACUGGUGUUCGGGUUGUCAUGCCAAUGGCACUGCCCGGUAGCUAAAUGCGGAAGAGAUAAGUGCUGAAAGCAUCUAAGCACGAAACUUGCCCCGAGAUGAGUUCUCCCUGAGACUUAGAGUCUCCUGAAGGAACGUUGAAGACGACGACGUUGAUAGGCCGGGUGUGUAAGCGCAGCGAUGCGUUGAGCUAACCGGUACUAAUGAACCGUGAGGCUUAACCUUACAACGCCGAAG